rnacentral:rRNA from 1 species
ACGUAAGUGGCAAGCGUUAUCCGGAAUCACUGGGUGUAAAGGGUGUGUAGGCGGUCAUAAAAGUUUUGUGUUUAAAUUCAGGGCUCAACCCUGAAACGGCCUGAAGGACUGUAUUGCUAGAGUGACAAAGAGGAAACUGGAACUCCAGGUGUAGCGGUGAAAUGUGUAGAUAUCUGGGGGAACACCAGUGGCGAAGGCAGCUUUCUGGUUGGCAACUGACGCUGAGGCGCGAAAGCGUGGGGAUCAAACAG